UACGUAGGGUGCGAGCGUUAAUCGGACUUCCUGGGCGUAAAGCGUGCGCAGGCGGUUUUGUAAGACAGAUGUGAAAUCCCCGGGCUUAACCUGGGAACUGCGUUGGAAACUGAAAGACUAGAGUGCGGCAGAGGGGGGUAGAAUUCCACGUGUAGCAGUGAAAUGCGUAGAUAUGUGGAGGAAUACCGAUGGCGAAGGCAGCCCCCUGGGUCGACACUGACGCUCAUGCACGAAAGCGUGGGGAGGAAACAGG
rnacentral:rRNA from 1 species